UAGAUCACCUGACAGAACAACACUUAUCAAUGUCACAGAUUUAACCUCAGUCUUAAACAUAAACCCAACCUAGAGAUGAUCUUUACCUUUAUUCCUGGGAAGGUGACAGCAGAAGAUGCGUACGAGCCAAUCAUGAGUGCGAUAAAAGUCGAACGAAGAUCACCAAACAUGUUGGGAAGCUAAGAAAGGGACAAUGAUGUCAAAAAAAUAUUGAUUAAUUAAAAAACUUCAAGAUUUUCAAUUCAGCAGUUCUUCAGGUGCAUCAUGAAAAUAAUAUGUAUUUAUUGGCCAACCUUGCCCCUUCACAUUUCAUGAGUACAAAAUGUAUCAAAAACAUAUGCCCUGUAACAGGACAAUCAGAUACAAAGAUCGGUAAACAUUACAUCAGGGUACCAUUGAUAUUCACUGGUAAGAGCAACACGUAGAGGGGCAUCAGUUGUAAAGGCGAAUGCAUGCCGUGAAUAUUUUUAGCAGUGAAAGUGUGGGGGACACUAGAUGAGUUUGCAUAAUGCUGUUCCCCUUUAGCUGGGCGGAGGAGCAGAGCACAAUCUGUUCUCAACUAUACUGUCAGAGUAAACAACACUACAGAGAAACUCAACAGACUCAAAAACCAAGAAGAAAAGGAAACAAGAACAAAAAACAGUAUUUUAGUGUUUUUAUAUGUAUUUCUGUAAUGUUUUAUUUUACUUUAAUUUUAUUAUUUAUACUUUUAUGUGUGUAUGUAGGUAUGAAAAGCAAGGAAACAAGAGACAGUAUUUUUAUUGUUUAAUAAUUUUGUUGGUUUUGUGCAAUAUUGUUCAGGUUCUUAUAUUUAGGUUCAGUUAUUUCACUUUAAUGGCAAUGAAAAGGUUAUUAGUCACACUGUAAAAAACAAUGUCAAAUUAACAUUUAUUUUAUGUUACUUUAACUAAACAAAUUAAGUUAAACAAUUUCAGAUUGUUUUUAUAAGUUAACUUAACUUUAAUUUUACCUUUCAUUGGUAUUUAAUAAAUUUGACUCUUUUCACUGCAAAA